AUUGAACGCUGGCGGCAGGCCUAACACAUGCAAGUCGAGCGAGUGGCGGACGGGUGAGUAAUGUCUGGGGAACUGCCCGAUGGAGGGGGAUAACUACUGGAAACGGUAGCUAAUACCGCAUACCAUCGGAUGUGCCCAUAUGGGCUUAGCUAGUAGGUGGGGUAAUGGCUCACCUAGGCGACGAGCCCUAGCUGGUCUGAGAGGAUGACCAUCAACACUGGAACUGAGACACGGUCCAGACUCCUACGGGAGGCAGCAGUGGGGAAUAUUGCACAAUGUGCGCAAGCCUGAUGCAGCCAGGCCGCGUGUAUGAAGAAGGCCUUAGGGUUGUAAAGUACUUGCAGCGAGGAGGCGUUACUCGCAGAAGAAGCACCGGCUAACUCCGUGCCAGCAGCCGCGGUAAUAC
rnacentral:rRNA from 1 species